GCUUCCCCUUUCACCUUACCUUCUUCCUUUUCUCCUUCUCUCAGCCGUUUCUCUAGGUUUCUAAGUUCGUUUAAAACCUUCUCUCAGACACUGCUUUUCCGUGUCUGCCUCUGAUUUCCAGCACCUCCUCGACACCCUCCCUCGCCCUUCCACCGCCGUCUGGAAUACCCUCAUCAUCGACUUCAUCUGCGACCAGAAGCCCCUCGACUCCCUCCUCCUCUACGCCCACGUGAGAGCCGCCACUUCCCCCACCCACUUCGAUUCCUACAGAGAACCCCCAACAUAUGCCUCGCGGAUUUGAUUCUUUUGUGGUCGAUGGGUUUCUUUGGAGCUCCUUCAAGCCAUGUUUCCUGCAUAUUAGGCACAUGAUCCUGCGUAGUUUAGAUGGCUGAGGUUAGGGAGGAAAAUAUCGGCGCCUGGUCUUGGAUACAAGUAACUAAGUUCGAUGUAGGGAAACGGGAAUGAAGAGUGAAUGCGACGUAGGGUUUGGAAACAGAAGAAUAGGACGACGAAGAAGAUGAGAGAAGAGCGUAACGAAAGAGUCAAGGACGAAAAAGGAGUAAAUGCUCACGAAUUGCGGAUGGAACAUCUAUUUCUUCUUCUAUAGAGGGCUUAGGGGUUGACUGUAAUAUUUGGAAUUUAUUCAUCACCAAAGUUGCUCCUUAUACACCCUUAAAUGAUUAUUUGAUGCCCGCAAAAUUGAAGGAUCAUGGUUUUGAGGUCUUAAAGGGAGAAGUCAAUUGCCUCAAUUUGGCCCCAGAAAGCUUACAUAGAGCUGAACCUAAAACAGAUGAAGUAUAUGAUCAUGCAACUUUGCUUGCUGAAGCAGAUGUGAGUGUGCUCUGACUUCAGCCAUUGGAUUGAUUGGUAUAUCAAUUAAGGAACUACACCCGAGAGCUAAGAAUCAGAAUUCCUACAUGGAAAGCUUGCCUUUGUGAACUUAAAGGGCCUUUCUUGGAUGCUGAAUGUAAGAUACUUUUCUGUCACUCUUUUCACUACAAGGCAAGGCUUUGACCGUUGGUUCUUUUGAGCUCCUAGAUUUGAAGUUGAUAUCAUCUUAUCUUGCCUAACAUGCUGAAUCAGCGCUUAUGGGGGGGCUUAUGGAAGCUACUCUUUGGAACGAAGCAUUCCUGAUAUGUUGCUACCUGCUGAAGUGCAGGAACCGAAGAGGAAAUUAAGGAGAUGAGGGAGUCUCUAUUCAAUAAGAAAAAUGGGUUUCUGCCAGUGGCCAUGGUUCAUGAUGGGUCGUGAGGUGGUAACAUCGACAUUGCUCCCUUAGAAGACAUAAUUUAUUCUACAAACUCAAUCCUACCAAUUGCAAAGAUAACCACAAGCAAUUGCGCAGGUUCUCCUUCAAUUUCGUGUCCCAUCCUUGAAAAAGUGCCCAUUAUAGAGAAAUAAGAAAUUGGUUUCUGGGUCUUUCUUUAUUGAGAUUUUCAUCAUCCUUUUAUCUGCGUUAGGUAGCAAUUGCUCCGCCAAUCCACUCAACUUUGUUAUGCUCAAUGAUAAUUUGCAAGCCAACAUGUUUCUUUUUCCCGUGUUUUAUUGAUUCUCCAUGGUGUGACUUUGAGUCUUCCUUCAACUUUUGUUGUUAUUUUAUAUUUUUGAAAUUUACUUUUUUUUGUUAUCAUUCAUUCAGUGUAUGCUGCUUUUUAUCAUUCAUAUUGCCUUCAUUUUUUAAGAGCUCUAACUCUCUAAUUCUAUUUCUCCCCGUGUUGAUCUCUGUGUGUCAUUUUUCUCAUUUGUAUGUGAGACCCCCUUGCAGGAUGUAUUUGACCUUCCUUUUGACCAUUCACAUGGUCAUAGAUCAAAUAGAAGAGAGUCUUUGAACCAAGAUGGCUUCUUUGAACCAAUAAUUGUUAUCUCAUACCUUCUUUGAUUUCGAUCUUGCACAGGUGAAUAGGUUACUAAUUUGGAAAGGUUAACUUAACUUUAUCUACCUCUUAUGGUCAAGCAGCUGGGUGUACUGAUUCUGUUCCAAAAACAUGCUUCUUUGACACUGUUGUUGUGCAGGUGAAUAGAAUUACAUCUCCCUUUAAAAUUUGUGUGUUUACAAGCUGACGGUGUUGCUAAAAGGACUGAGGAGGUUGGGUUUUUUGAUGUUGCCCAUGUUCCUGAGGUUCCAAUGUCGGAAAUCUUGCAUGGAUUGCAAGUGCAACAAACUUCACAAAGCUGUUAAGUGUAUCUAGAUAAAUCAAGAAUAUAUGAAAUGUAUCAAGUUUUCAUGUUUUUUCAACUUUCUUUCUAAGUUUCUUUCGUUUGUGAGCUUAGGAUUAUGAGUUUCCAUUUAUACUAUCAAAGGAUUAUAUAUUCGAUUUUGAAGGGCAUUAUGACACUAGCUAUGAUGUAUUGUAAUUGAAACUUGAUGGAAUUUUGAAAUGGUGUAGAGCGAUGAAAUAAAAUCAGUCUAUGACAAAUUGAGUGGUUUA